rnacentral:tmRNA from 1 species
GGGGGCGUACAGGAUUCGACGAAAUCGUAAUUGCUGCUAAGAGGCAUGCCGGGCUCCGAGCACCCGUUAAACGAUCGGAACACAAGAACUGCCAACAACAUGCAGUUUGCACACGCUGCCUAAGCUUUAGGCAGCCGCCUAGACUGGUGGGCUCGCACGCAAGUCAUAGGUGUCAUUUUGCGGGAUAGGCCUCGGGACUUCUGCUCGGAGUUCAGGAGCCGAGAUCAAUCGAGCUGGACCGCAGUCGGCUUGUUCAUUCCCAGUCAGCGGUCGAGAUUCACGAAUGGACUAAGCAUGUAGUCUCUUUUCGGUGGUCUUUUUCGGACGCGGGUUCGAUUCCCGCCGCCUCCACCA